GCCUCUUGUUCAAAUAUAAGAGGUCCAGCCUGCCCAGUGAUAUAAUUCAACGGCCGCGGUACCCUAACCGUGCGAAGGUAGCAUAAUCACUUGUUCUUUAAAUAAGGACUUGUAUCAACGGCAUCACGAGGACUGUACUGUCUCCUUUCUCCAAUCAGUGAAACUGAUCUCCCCGUGAAGAAGCGGGGAUUAACCUAUAAGACGAGAAGACCCCAUGGAGCUUAAAGCCCACACAACUCUAUGCAUUUAAAUCAAUAUAGCCCAAGAAACCUGCAAACGGCUUUAGGUUGGGGGGACCGCGGAGUAAAACCUAACCUCCACGACAAACGGGCAUACGCCCUUAUCCAAGAAUGACAAUUCUAAGAAUCAAUAAACUGAUGUUUAAUGACCCGAUUAUUCGAUCAACGAACCAAGUUACCCUGGGGAUAACAGCGCAAUCUACUUCAAGAGCCCCUAUCAACAAGUAGGUUUACGACCUCGAUGUUGGAUCAGGGUAUCCUAGUGGUGCAGCCGCUACUAAAGGUUCGUUUGUUCAACGAUUAAAACCCUACGUGAUCUGAGUUCAGACCCGGA
rnacentral:rRNA from 1 species